CGCGUCGUCGCCUUCCCCAGCGCGCGUGCAGAGGGUCCCGGGCCCCCGCCCGUGGGUCCAGACUCAGCGGGCAGCGGGAGGGACGUUGAGGCUAUUCCCCAGGGAGAGGCUGACCCUGCCAGGCUGGAACCUUCCAUUCCGGCCCAGCCUCUUCCCCCUUCUCUGCGCCCAGGAGGGAAUCGAGAAGGGACUUUCCAGAGAGCGUUAGCGGGCAGGGUGUGGAAAUGGAAUAAAAGCAUAUGCAAAUAGGCCCUUGCGUGCCUUCCUCUACCCCUGCGAGCAAGAGCCUUUCUCCAGAAAGAUGUUCUUGCUCCAAGACACUUGACAGCGCUCUUCCUUCCCUGGACGGCGGCAGCAGGGCCGAGUGAAGUGGUAACACCCGGGCAGCGGCAACGCCAGGGUGGGCCGGGUGGACAGGAGGGAGUAGCAAACAGAGGAGGGGAAGAACGGCCGCUGAGUUGGAAAGACAAAGUAAAACGAAAUUUUAGGAGCUCGCUAUGAAUACACUUUACCACGAAGGAAUGAAGAGCUAUGGGCGGGGUUCUGGCAAAUUCUAUAACUAACAAAAUUGAACACAAGUGUUAAAGGACCUUAGAGAUGUAAUGUGAUCCCUUCAUCGUUUUUUUUUUUUUUCCCACUUCAUCUUAUAAAUGAGAAAAUUGAGGCCCCGGGAGGAGAAGGGACCGUCGACUGAAAACAGAUGCACAACCUAAAAGUUGAGAAUUAUGUUUUAUUUAGCGGACUUUCUGAGAACCUCAAGGCCAGGACACAGCCUCUCAGAUAGCUCUGAGGGACUGCUCCCAAGAGGACUACCUGACCCAGUGAGAGAGCAGUGAAUCUGGUUCCAUGUACAUCCUAGAGGUGGUCCUGGCUGCCAGCGGUUCCCCUGAUUCCUACUCUGUUGGCAGAAUCCUCAGAUCCUAACAGAGAGGCUGACCUCUGGCUUCCUGGGUGGGCUUCUCACCAGCAGUGUCACCUGCUCUGAGAAUCUAGGUACGCUUCCAUUCUCCCAACAAAAUGUCGGUGCUGGCUACUGGGGGUAUGGAGCAAAUAAGGAAGACACGGUUCCUAAUCCCAUGGAAGGCCCAGUUGUCGUAUUGUGAUUUAUAAUAAAUGUGUACUUGGCCUUUGUCCCCACUUCUGGCACAGACCUCCGAAAUUGGAAAUUUCCCUUGGAAUUUUCUGUGAUGAGAGCGUUUAAAGGUGUCUUUUGUUGUGUUGAUGGUAACUUCUGAACCACACCUAAGGAUGGAGGCUGGUUGCCAGGAGAGCCCAUCCUGUGAUUGUAAGUUUCAGUUCCACCCCCGACCUCGGGGCAGGGGAGAGGGGAUGGCGAAUGACUUCAAUCGCCAAUGGCCAAUGAUUUAAUCAAUCGUGCCUACGUCAUGAAGCGGCCAUAAAAGCCCGGAAGGACUGAGUUCAGAGAACUUCCGGGUUGGGGAACAUGGAGGUGCCGGGAGAGUGUUGCACCGAGAGGGCAUGGAAGCUCCGUGCUCUUUCCCCACAUCUUGUCCUAUGAAUCUCUUCCUUCUGGUCGUUCCUGAGUUAUAGCCUUUCAUAAUAAACUGGCAAUCUGGACAUUGCUGCCGUGCGACAAGCCCCGCUGAUGCCAUUGAGGAUGUGAGGCCACAUGGAAGGAGAUCCCAGCCGUGCAGCCCAAACUGCCCACUCACAGCGUUGUCGUGUUAGGACCUUGUGCGUUUCCACUUGCUCUGCCUGGCUGGAAUCUCUGCACCCCGGGGAGACCGUAUUGAACCCCGUGAUGGCAUCGCUGAGACUGGGCGCCUGUUUUUCCUCCCAAGAAGCCACAGUGCAGAGGAAGAGAACCUGAACCAUCUGUAAGAAUGUCCUCACACAAAAGCAACGUUUACCAUGUGCUUGGUAUGCGCUGGGCAUGGGAUGGAACUGAGUAAGACUGACAUUGCCCCUCCACUCAAGAAACUUCUGGUCUCCUGAGCAGCCCAGCACUGAAGGCGUAACAGUGCUGUGGAGCUCUGUGGGAGCCCACGGAGUAAAGGAAUAUUAGGCGGGAUUGGAGGAGGUUUUACAGACGAAACGGCUUGAGCAAAGGUCAGGAAGCGAGAGAGGACGAGGCUCCUGGAGAAUGGUAAGCAGCUUCAUGUGGUUGGGACAUGGACUGCUGAAUGCCGUGGGGAGGAAGGUGGCUGGAGAGAUAACGGAGCCCAGAUCGUGAAGGUUCUUGUAAACCAGCUUUGGUUGUUCCUGGAAGGUUUGAAGUAAGGACCCUUAAUUUCUCUGCCUCCACCAUGGCUAAAAUUUAAUCCCCUAUGAGAAAUUCUUCAACAGCCAACAAGCCAGCGUUUGCUGAGGGUAUGCUGUGUGUAGAGUCUUACAUUGAGAAAUGAAUAUACAACACUAAACGUGGGACAAGCUUCACUUUUUAGAUCUCCCCACC